GGCCCCACCCCACCUGCAGCAGGCUGGUUUCAGGCUAAAUGAACUCUUCAGAGAAGCUGGUACUGAAAUGGAGACACUUUGGCAGUGAACCAGUUCGUCAUGGCUGUAAGAUUGUUGAAAAAUUCAAUACCUGCACAUUCACAAUUGAGAAUGUUUUAAAAACAAUCAAGCUAAACUCAUGUCAAGGUAAUCACAAGCCCCCAAUAACCAACGAGAGGGUUGCUGUCUGGAGGCUGCUGGGGCACCUCUUUAUUGUCCAGUGAGCUUCAGAGAUGCCCCAAAACAGGACUGGGCUAAACAGAAAAAGCCAGGUGAAUAUGUCCCAGGCAGCAGGAUUAUAUUCCAAACCAGAUAGGCAUAAUUUUAAAGUUAUUUUGAGGCAAGAUUUAAAGUCAUCUUGAACAAAUCUAAAGUUGAAAACCCAAACAUUUGAUUUAUAAACAUAACAACCUAGAAGAAGAACAAAAAAAGUCCAGGACCACUCCCCUCUCUCCCCAUCAUGUGCCAGAAUGUUCAAUGUGACCACUAGCUGGUUUGGGAGUCUUGGGAUGAAGUUUCCCCAAGUAGGCUGUGUGGGGUUCAGUCUGCAGCCAAAAUCUUUUGCCACAAGAAACAGAAGAUAACUGUGUCCAUAACUCGUCCCCCGCAAACCCAAGUCUCCCACAGCAACUAUCUCCAGGGUCUUGUGGGUCUUACCUAGAAAAGGUACCCAAUGGGAGGUCAAAAUCACCCAAAGCAAAUAGAAGAGAUGGGCCCAGCCGUGCGUUGUUCCUGGGGUGCAGGAUGGAGACAUUUCUGAGCCACUGAGGCAUGAAAAGCCAGACAGGCCAAGCAAACAUCAAUACCGCCAGCAUGCUAGAAGCUAAUGGACCGCAGAGAGCGCCUCCAACAGGCCCCGACCACAUUCAUAUGAAGCUGCAGGAGCCCUCCCAGCUCUUCCUGCCCUUGAACUGCUAAAGCAUGAAACCCUCACACAAUCAAACAGCACGGCCCAUCCUGCAAAGUGGGAUGAUCAGAGGCUUGGUACACAGGACCCACUGCUGGGACCAAGUCCCCGGGGAUUUCAGUUCUGUGACAUUUGCAAUUUAAAGUCGGCUUGACACUCAGCAGCUGCUGUGGGUGUUUUUUUUUCCCCUUCAUAUUUUACAGAAAGGAAGAAUGCCAGCUUCCAAUGCCAGUUCUGAGAACAGAACAGAUCCUUUGGGCGAAGGAGAAAACAAGUGUUCGUGUCAGCCUUCAGGAAGAACUUUCUCCAAAGCCCAGGAGCUCUGGAACAGCGGUCAGCUCCAGGGGGACCUGCUUGUGAAGGGAGGUGUGAUGGCAGGCCCAGAAGAGGAAAGAAGCACUCUUGCGAUAGCCCAUACUUGACCUACAAGGAGGCUCCCAAGAAGAUCCCCAGAGUGUCCUGGUCUCCAGCAUAUAUCACCUGUGAAAUAAACUUUGUUUUGAUUUAAAGAAAUGUUUUAAUACCUGCUAGUAGAUAACGUUCAUAUCAACCACAGCUUUAGGAGUUGGGUGGUUUCAGGGAAAGUGUAAGGAACAUCU